AGCGAGAGAACUGUUGUUAAGGAACUCGGCAAAAUGACCCCGUAACUUAGGGAUAAGGGGUGCCACCAUCAGGUGGCCGCAGAGAAUAGGCCCAAGCGACUGUUUACCAAAAACAUAGGUUUCUGCUAAGUCGCAAGACGAUGUAUAGGAGCUGACGCCUGCCCGGUGCUGGAAGGUUAAGGGGAUCUGUUAGAGCAAUCGAAGCAGUGAACUUAAGCCCCAGUAAACGGCGGCCGUAACUAUAACGGUCCUAAGGUAGCGAAAUUCCUUGUCGGGUAAGUUCCGACCCGCACGAAAGGCGUAACGAUUUGGGCACUGUCUCAACAACAGACUCGGUGAAAUUGUAAUUCCGGUGAAGAUGCCGGAUACCUGCGACAGGACGGAAAGACCCCAUGGAGCUUUACUGUAGCUUGACAUUGGGUCUUGGUACUACAUGUACAGGAUAGGUGGGAGGCUUUGAAACCAGGACGCCAGUUUUGGCGGAGCCAUCCUUGGGAUACCACCCUUGUAGUACUGGGACUCUAACCAUAGGCCAUGAAUCUGGUCUUGGGACACUGUCAGGUGGGCAGUUUGACUGGGGCGGUCGCCUCCCAAAAGGUAACGGAGGCGCUCAAAGGUUCUCUCAGUACGGUCGGAAAUCGUACGUAGAGUGUAAAGGCAAAAGAGAGCUUGAUUGCAAGACAUACAGGUCGAGCAAGGAUGAAAAUCGGACUUAGUGAUCCGGUGGUUCUGCGUGGAAGGGCCAUCGCUCAACGGAUAAAAGCU
rnacentral:rRNA from 1 species